rnacentral:rRNA from 1 species
GGUUAAGCGACUAAGCGUACACGGUGGAUGCCCUGGCAGUCAGAGGCGAUGAAGGACGUGCUAAUCUGCGAAAAGCGCCGGCGAGGUGAUAUGAACCCUUGACCCGGCGAUGUCCGAAUGGGGAAACCCAGUGUGAUUCGUCACACUAUCGUUAACUGAAUACAUAGGUUAACGAGGCGAACCGGGGGAACUGAAACAUCUAAGUACCCCGAGGAAAAGAAAUCAACCGAGAUUCCCCCAGUAGCGGCGAGCGAACGGGGAGCAGCCCGGAGUCUGAAUCAGCUUGUGUGUUAGUGGAACGGUCUGGAAAGUCCGACGGUACAGGGUGAUAGUCCCGUACACGAAAGCACACAUGCUGUGAACUCGAAGAGUAGGGCGGGACACGUGGUAUCCUGUCUGAAUAUGGGGGGACCAUCCUCCAAGGCUAAAUACUCCUGACUGACCGAUAGUGAACCAGUACCGUGAGGGAAAGGCGAAAAGAACCCCGGCGAGGGGAGUGAAAAAGAACCUGAAACCGUGUACGUACAAGCAGUGGGAGCCUCUUUAUGGGGUGACUGCGUACCUUUUGUAUAAUGGGUCAGCGACUUAUAUUCUGUAGCAAGGUUAACCGUAUAGGGGAGCCGAAGGGAAACCGAGUCUUAACUGGGCGUUAAGUUGCAGGGUAUAGACCCGAAACCCGGUGAUCUAGCCAUGGGCAGGUUGAAGGUUGGGUAACACUAACUGGAGGACCGAACCGACUAAUGUUGAAAAAUUAGCGGAUGACCUGUGGCUGGGGGUGAAAGGCCAAUCAAACCGGGAGAUAGCUGGUUCUCCCCGAAAGCUAUUUAGGUAGCGCCUCGUGAAUUCAUCUUCGGGGGUAGAGCACUGUUUCGGCUAGGGGGCCAUCCCGGCUUACCAACCCGAUGCAAACUACGAAUACCGAAGAAUGUUAUCACGGGAGACACACGGCGGGUGCUAACGUCCGUCGUGAAGAGGGAAACAACCCAGACCGCCAGCUAAGGUCCCAAAGUCAUGGUUAAGUGGGAAACGAUGUGGGAAGGCACAGACAGCCAGGAUGUUGGCUUAGAAGCAGCCAUCAUUUAAAGAAAGCGUAAUAGCUCACUGGUCGAGUCGGCCUGCGCGGAAGAUGUAACGGGGCUAAACCAUGCACCGAAGCUGCGGCAGCGACACUAUGUGUUGUUGGGUAGGGGAGCGUUCUGUAAGCCGUUGAAGGUGUGCUGUGAGGCAUGCUGGAGGUAUCAGAAGUGCGAAUGCUGACAUAAGUAACGAUAAAGCGGGUGAAAAGCCCGCUCGCCGGAAGACCAAGGGUUCCUGUCCAACGUUAAUCGGGGCAGGGUGAGUCGACCCCUAAGGCGAGGCCGAAAGGCGUAGUCGAUGGGAAACAGGUUAAUAUUCCUGUACUUGGUGUUACUGCGAAGGGGGGACGGAGAAGGCUAUGUCAGCCGGGCGACGGUUGUCCCGGUUUAAGCAUGUAGGCGGAGGUUCCAGGUAAAUCCGGUACCUUGUUAACGCUGAGGUGUGAUGACGAGGCACUACGGUGCUGAAGUGAUAAAUGCCCUGCUUCCAGGAAAAGCCUCUAAGCAUCAGGUAACACGAAAUCGUACCCCAAACCGACACAGGUGGUCAGGUAGAGAAUACCAAGGCGCUUGAGAGAACUCGGGUGAAGGAACUAGGCAAAAUGGUGCCGUAACUUCGGGAGAAGGCACGCUGAUAUGUAGGUGAAGCCCCUGCGGGCGGAGCUGAAAUCAGUCGAAGAUACCAGCUGGCUGCAACUGUUUAUUAAAAACACAGCACUGUGCAAACACGAAAGUGGACGUAUACGGUGUGACGCCUGCCCGGUGCCGGAAGGUUAAUUGAUGGGGUUAGCGGCAACGCGAAGCUCUUGAUCGAAGCCCCGGUAAACGGCGGCCGUAACUAUAACGGUCCUAAGGUAGCGAAAUUCCUUGUCGGGUAAGUUCCGACCUGCACGAAUGGCGUAAUGAUGGCCAGGCUGUCUCCACCCGAGACUCAGUGAAAUUGAACUCGCUGUGAAGAUGCAGUGUACCCGCGGCAAGACGGAAAGACCCCGUGAACCUUUACUAUAGCUUGACACUGAACACUGGUCCUUGAUGUGUAGGAUAGGUGGGAGGCUUUGAAGCGUGGACGCCAGUCUGCGUGGAGCCAACCUUGAAAUACCACCCUUUAAUGGCUGGUGUUCUAACGUAGACCCGUAAUCCGGGUUGCGGACAGUGUCUGGUGGGUAGUUUGACUGGGGCGGUCUCCUCCCAAAGAGUAACGGAGGAGCACGAAGGUUGGCUAAUCCUGGUCGGACAUCAGGAGGUUAGUGCAAUGGCAUAAGCCAGCUUGACUGCGAGCGUGACGGCGCGAGCAGGUGCGAAAGCAGGUCAUAGUGAUCCGGUGGUUCUGAAUGGAAGGGCCAUCGCUCAACGGAUAAAAGGUACUCCGGGGAUAACAGGCUGAUACCGCCCAAGAGUUCAUAUCGACGGCGGUGUUUGGCACCUCGAUGUCGGCUCAUCACAUCCUGGGGCUGAAGUAGGUCCCAAGGGUAUGGCUGUUCGCCAUUUAAAGUGGUACGCGAGCUGGGUUUAGAACGUCGUGAGACAGUUCGGUCCCUAUCUGCCGUGGGCGCUGGAGAAUUGAGGGGGGCUGCUCCUAGUACGAGAGGACCGGAGUGGACGCAUCACUGGUGUUCGGGUUGUCAUGCCAAUGGCACUGCCCGGUAGCUAAAUGCGGAAGAGAUAAGUGCUGAAAGCAUCUAAGCACGAAACUUGCCCCGAGAUGAGUUCUCCCUGAGACUUUAAGUCUCCUGAAGGAACGUUGAAGACGACGACGUUGAUAGGUCGGGUGUGUAAGCGCAGCGAUGCGUUGAGCUAACCGAUACUAAUGAACCGUGAGGCUUAACCUU